AGGGCUAUAGCUCAGUUCGGUAGAGCAACUCGUUUACAUCGUUUGAUCUGU
rnacentral:tRNA from 2 species